AGUGAACGCUGGCGGUAGGCCUAACACAUGCAAGUCGAACGGCAGCACAGUAAGAGCUUGCUCUUACGGGUGGCGAGUGGCGGACGGGUGAGGAAUACAUCGGAAUCUACUUUUUCGUGGGGGAUAACGUAGGGAAACUUACGCUAAUACCGCAUACGACCUACGGGUGAAAGCAGGGGAUCUUCGGACCUUGCGCGAUUGAAUGAGCCGAUGUCGGAUUAGCUAGUUGGCGGGGUAAAGGCCCACAAAGGCGACGAUCCGUAGCUGGUCUGAGAGGAUGAUCAGCCACACUGUAACUGAGACACGGUCCACACUCCUACGCGAGGCAGCAGUGGAGAAUAUUGGACAAUGGGCGCAAGCCUGAUCCAGCCAUACCGCGUGGGUGAUGAAGGCCUUCGGGUUGUAAAGCCCUUUUGUUGGGAAAGAAAAGCAGCAGGUUUAUACCCCGCUGUUCUGACGGUACCCAAAGAAUAAGCACCGGCUAACUUCGUG
rnacentral:rRNA from 1 species